AGAUUGAACGCUGGCGGCAUGCCUAACACAUGCAAGUCGAGCGGCAGCGCGGGGGCGACCCUGGCGGCGAGCGGCGGACGGGUGAGUAAGGCAUCGGAAUCUGCCCUGAUGUGGGGGAUAACGUAGGGAAACUUGUGCUAAUACCGCAUAAGCUCUGAGGAGGAAAGCGGGGGACCGAAAGGCCUCGCGCAGCAGGAUGAGCCGAUGUCCGAUUAGCUAGUUGGUGGGGUAACGGCCUACCAAGGCGACGAUCGGUAGCUGGUCUGAGAGGAUGAUCAGCCACACUGGGACUGAGACACGGCCCAGACUCCUACGGGAGGCAGC
rnacentral:rRNA from 1 species